GAGGAACCCGGUGCGAGUCCGGGACGGUCCCGCCACUGUGAGCGGAUCGCGCGCGAUCCGAGAGUCAGGAACUC
rnacentral:ncRNA from 2 species